CCGCCCCUUCCGCCGCGCGGCGUCCCGUCGCCAUGGCUGCCCGCGGUGGUGUCGCCGCUGCCGGCGAGAGUCUGCGCUACGCCGAGUACUCGCCUCCGGCGACCCGACGGCCGGACGCCGACCUGGACAAGGGGCUGGCAAGAAAUUUGAUAGCUAUAGGACUGGGUGUUGCAGCUGUUGCAUUUGCAGGUCGCUAUGCAUUUCAGUUCUGGAAACCUCUAGAACAAGUAAUCACAGAAACGACAAAGAAGAUUUCUACUCCUAGCCUUUCAUCCUACUAUAAAGGAGGAUUUGAACAGAAAAUGAGUAGGCGAGAAGCUAGUCUUAUUUUGGGUAUAAGCCCAUCUGCUGGCAAGGCUAAGAUUAGAACAGCUCAUAGGAGAAUUAUGAUUUUGAAUCAUCCAGAUAAAGUUUGAGGGACACCGAUCUGAUCAAUGCUGCCUGCUAAAUCAAGACUGUUUCUACUCUAUCCUGGGGAAAAUAUCCUGUUCACUGCCCUUGAAGAUUUUUAGUGAUGGAUAGCUUCCUGCUUUUACAAGAAGCCCAAUGGUGGAUCUCCUUACUUAGCAACCAAAAUAAAUGAAGCAAAAGACUUGCUAGAAGCAACCACCAAACAUUGAUUGAUGCCCAAGAAUCACUCUGAAGGAAAAGAUGGGGGAAUUUAAAACAAAAAAGUCCAGCAAAUUAAACUAUGGUAUUCAUGAUUUUCAUACAUCUACUGGCCACAAUAAUUUAUUCCACUAUUAAGGCAUAUAAUAAUAAAAGAUUAACAGUCUGUCUUUUUAUUAUCUUUUAAA